CUUCCGGGGGAGCGUACGACGUGACCGGACGCGACUGCGCGCACCGGGGGCGGGGCGGACCCGCGGGGCCCUAAACCCUCCGUUUCAUUGCGUCCCCGGGCACUUUGGGGUCAGGGGGCUGGACGUUCCAAUUAUUGCAUCUGGGACAAUUCAACUUCAGGCUGAGAUGCCUAGGAGGGCUUGUAGGGCAAGGGAGUUACCUGAUUGCACGAGUCACUCCAUCCUAAGAAUGUGGAAUGGUGUCUCACUGUGGUUUUGAUUUGCAUUUCCCUAAUGAUUAAUGAUGUAUAACUGUUACCAAACAGUGAUCCUGGUCUGGAUCACCUGGUGGAAGAACCAAGCGGCACUUGGAGAUCAUCGAAGGCAGAAGGUUUAUUUCACACAGCCAGGCUCAGAGGAGAUCACUCUCCAGAGGUCUGAGUCCUGAGCGCAAGCAUGGAGGAUAAUUUAUGAAACUUGAGUCAUCUAAAAGAAGCCCAAGGACCUGAUGAGAUCACCAACAACAGCUGUUCUUAUAUUUUUAGAAGUAUUUCAGAACUAAACGUAGAGGUCCAGGGCCAGUUCAAGUCCACGUCUUCAUUCUAUUUUCUGAUAAUCUUUGUUUUCAAAGUAGCAAAGGUUUUAUUUACAUUUUAAUUCAUCUUCCAGAGAAAGGAACUUACACUGUACAUGGAUACAUUUAGCCUGUCAUACAGUUCAUGGUAGGAAAAAUUGCUUUACUAACUACAUGAGUUGAAACACCUAUGCCUCAGGUGUAGACAGGUUACAGACCUGUCACUUGCAGCCCAAAGUCCUGAGGGUAAGAUAGUGAUUAUGCAGGACUGAAGUCAUCCUUAUAUUCAGAGUCAUUGAAAACCUGUCUAUUGAGGGCAGGGGCCAUACUCAAUACUGCAUACCCAACUGAGUGCAGUGUCUGUCUGGGACAUAAUAUGUACUUAGUAAAUAUUUGUUGAACAAAUGAAUAAAUGGCUUUAAUCAUUCUCAGCCAGCCUCCAACAUGACUAUACGCCCUUUAACUUCCAGUUCUGCAUUAUCUAUUCAGUCAGUCAAAAGGUAUUGAGUACUUUCAACAUACCAGACUGUUUUAGGUGCUGCAGACACAUAAGGGAAAAAAUUCAUUGAAUUCAUAUUCUAGUGGCAAGAGGCAGAAAUAAACAAGACAAAAAGUUAAAAUGGAAGAUGGUGAUAAGAGCCAGGGAAAAAAUAAGUCAAGAGCUGGAGAUAGGGAGUAUUGGAUUGAUUUACAUAUUAUGGGCAAAGUAACCAAGAACCACUUUAAUUGAUGAAACUAUUGUUAUCUCCAUUUCAUGUUUUCAGCCACUAAACUGGGAUCUUGAAUUUAAUAUUCUUUUUUAUUAUGCAGGCUUAUAAUCAAGUGUUUUUUACUAGAUACUGAGUACAUGUAUAAAUGCUGUAGAAUUUGUCAUCUAAGAACUUUAAUAGUUUUUUUUUAUUAUUAUUAUUAUUUGAGAGAGAGAGUGUGUGUGCAAGUGGAAGACAUGGGCAGAGGGAGGGAGAGAAUCUUAAUGCUCAGCAUGGGGCCAGACAAAGGGCUCAAUCCUACGACCCUGGGGUCAUAACCUGAGCUGAAAUCAAGAGUUAGACGCUCAACCCACUGAGCCACCCAGCCACCUUAAGAACUUUAAUUUUAAAUGCUGCCCCCUAAUAAUGGUGAAGGUUUUGUAGGGCACACCCGGUACACAUUAGAUGGAUUCCUGAUAUUGGGAUGGUGUUCAGAUUCAAGCUUUUGAAGCUCACAGUCUCAAACAGAUAAACAAGAUUCCCUUCCCUUCCUUCCUUCCUUCCUUCCUUCCUUCCUUCCUUCCUUCCUUCCUCUUGCUUUCCCAGUGGGUUUUACCAAGGAGAGAAGUUAAGUCUCCAGACCCUCAGGGACAGAUCUUGUGCCUAAGAAGGAGCUCUUCCAGUAAAAAGAUAUGACAGGCUGUCAAUUCAACUCUCCGGAUUUCAAUGACGUUACUUACCUAAGAACACAUUUGACAGUUCAUUUUCCUCUUGUUUAACCAAUGCGUCUAGAAACGGAUUUGGUACAAUGUUAUGACAUUUAAAUGUAUGUUGUCAAUUAUUGUUUGUUAAGUGCUAUGUAAUUAUUAGUGAUGUAGUUUGAUUUUAAAGAAAAUCUUCUCUUAUAAAUUUAUUAUUUCUAAGAAAAAAAUUCUUCUUUCUGAUUUUACUUCCCUCAGAUUAAAUGCCUUUUAGAGUAUUUAUGACAUAAUAAAAUGAGCAUUUUGAAUGCUUUAAAUCCCUAAUAAGUAAUACUUUAGAGGUCCCUUGCUAUUUCACUGUUAUUCUUGGGCUGAUCCACUGAUUUGCAAAUGUAACAUAUCAUUAUUAUUCAUUUUUCAUUCCUUCUGAGACUAAUACUAUUUGUGCCUCCUCUAAAAUAAAAACUCUAAAAUACUGUUCAGUUCUACACUAGGGAAAAUUUUUUAUUUUCUUAACUAAUGGCUCCAUAAGCGCAAUUUAUUUUGAUGAAGUCCUAUGAUAGGAGUUUUGGUAUUUAACAGAUUUUCUUUAUACCUUGUUGUCAUAUCUUGUAAGACACUUUUGUAAUACCUGGCUUUUUGCAGACUAAUUUUUUCAUUUUGCUGAUAUUGUAAAAAUUACAUAUUAUAAAACAAGUGUUUAGUAAGAGAUAUAAAAAUAUCACCUGGCAUUAAAGAGUUGUUUACUAAAAUCCAUUUAGAAAUAUUACCUUCCAAAGGGAACAGAGGGGUGAAAUAGAUAAAAGGAAUUAAGAGCGCGCUUACCUUGAUGAGCACCAAGUAAUAAAUAGAAUUGUUGAAUCACUAUACUGUACAUCUGAAACUAAUAUCACACUGUAUGUUAAUUAUACUUCAUUUAAAAAAAAGAAAAAAUAUGUUGCUUGCAAAAUGUACAUUCCGUGAGGGCAGGGAUCUUUACUUUGUUCACCUAUGUAACCCAAAUACUUAAAAGAGUGUUUAGCACAUAAAAGAUGCUCAAUAAUGGGCUGCCUGGGUGGCUCAGUUGGUUAAGUGUCUGACUUUGGCUUAGGUCAUGAUCUAGUGGUUUGUGAGUUUGAGCUUGCAUAGGGCUCUGUGCUGACAGCUCAGAGAUUGUAGCCUGCUUCAGAUUCUGUGUCUCCCUCUCUCUCUGCCCCUCCCCUGCUCUCUCUCUCUCUCUCUCUCUCAAAAUAAAUAAACAUAAAACAAACUAACUAAAAGAGAUGCUCAAUAAAUAUUGGUUGGGUAAAUUUUUGUAUGUAUUGUUUCCAAAAGUAAUAUGUUCAAAAAUUGCUUUCUUCUUGCUAUGGACUGAAUAGGUUUCCCACAAAACUCAUAUAUUGAAGCCCUAAUCCCCAGUAUCACUGUAUUUGGAAAUAGGAUUUUUAGGAUAUAAUUAAGGCUAAAUGAGGCUCAUAAGGGUAGGGUCCUAAUCUAAUAGGAUUGGAGACCUUAUAAAAUAGGAAGAGAGAUGUCUUACCCCUUUCUUCUUAGCUCAGAGGGCAUAUAAACCUCAGUUGCCUGGCGGGAAGCCUCAUGUGUUUCGAGUUCCUGUACAUACAAAUUAAUUUUUUUCUCUUGCUAAUCUAUUUUAUGUCAAUUUAAUUAUUAGACCAGCCAAAAAAACCUAUAAAGAAGAAGGAAAAAAUUUUCCUCUCCUACAAUUCUUAUAUGCUUACAAAGAAUUGCUCUAGGUUCUCAGUUCUAAAACCAAUAGAGCUGAUUCACAAACACUGGAAAUACUUGGAUGAUUGAUGGGGUUUAAUUACACCAUUAGAGCAAAAAGACAACUUGAAGCAAUAGUAGCUGAUGGCUGGUAGGCAACAGCUAGUCAGCGCAUGCAGCGGUCUGGGACAUGCUGAUUUAACAGGGUAGAAACCAGCAGGCACACUAUAUGCAGGGAGACAGGCACCGCUCCAAAGAGCAAAAACACUCUGGAAAGAUGGCAUCAGAAUCUGUGCUGUAAGGAUGAAAAGUUGCUGGGCAUCCAAGAGGCCCUUGUUCCCACAUGGCAGAAAUUUCAAGCAGCAGGGUUAUUUUUAGAUUAAAAAAAAAAAAAAAAGAAAAAAACCCUGAAAGGCAUAAAUUGCAUACACAUUUAUUUUUAUUUGCUGCCUAAUUAAUGAUAAAAAGUUUUUUCUUGAGACAAUGAAAGUUGAGGGUUUUGUUUAUUUGUUUUUAAAGAAAGUGGGGAAAGUGAGCAAUGUUUGACUAGGUGGACUGCUGAGUAGAACCAUGAUCUUCUACCCUCAUCACUUGUAGACUCACACUUUAUGAUCUUUAUCAACUUAACCUCAUUAUAACCUCUGCUACUCUGUAAAGUUACAAAUAGACCUGACAAUUGGCUUUAAAAAUAUUGCAGGUCACUCUAAGGCAAUUUGUCCUACAAACUAAAAGUUAGGAUUUAACAAAAUAGAAUAAUAUUGGCAAAACAUGGCCCCCCAUAUAAAAUUCCUAAACUUCACUCCUUCUCUUCUCUGUUCUUCCAUAUUUUUAUAUUCCUAUUUAAAUAAUGAACUGACAGGUGCUUGGGUGGCUCAGUCGGUUGGGUGUCUCACUUUGGCUUAGGUCAUGAUUUCAGAAUUUGUGAGUUUAAGCCCUGCGUCGGGCUCUGGGCAAACAGCUCAGAGCCAAGAGCCUGCUUUGGAUUCUGUGUCUCCCUCUCUCUCUGCCACCCCCCCCCCCUCUCAAAAAUAAAUAAACAUUAAAAAAAUUUUUUUUAAAUAACGAACUGAAAUGGUUCUUACUCCUUGUAAUCUUCCUUAACUGCCCAAGUCAGCAUUUUCCCUCUCUUGUCAGUGUUCCUAUGACACUCAGCUUACAAUUCUAUUAUAUUUAUUUAAUUCUGUCCUAACUCUACCAUAUUAUAAAAAAUACACUCUUACAAAAGUAACAAAUGACUUGUUUAUGACAAUACCCAAGGCCAUCUUCAAGCUUAUUUAACUGAAGGAUAAAUUGUUUCAAGACUUGAUCCUAUUUAUCACUUUGCUCUGUAUUUUUUAUUGUAGUUUUCUUUGCUCUCUGCCUAAUUUACCUGAUUAUAGUAUCCCACAAAUGAGUAUUUGUUAUAAAUGGUUCUGGGCACCAUUAUCUAUGCAUAUAUAGAUAUGCAUAGAAUUCAAAAUUCAAAGUUAGGAGUCUUGAGGUGUAAAAUUGCCCCUCGCUAAAAGAGGAAUAUAUAAAAUAAAGCACUGAAUGCCUACUAGAAUUUCAUAGUCUCCUAAAAGUGUAGCAACCAUAAAAUCAACAUCAGAUUCUAUAGGCACUGAAUUGUAAACAAAUAAUACUGGUCAGCAAACAGUUAUCUGAUCUGUAAGAGCAAAAGAAGAAAAACAAAGGCUUUGAAGGAAGUCAGCACUUGUAAAUACUUCUCAUCUGUGUGUAAUGUUAGUGAAACCAUAGAAGCUGCUUUUUCAUAUUGUAAGCAACAGUCUCUAACCCUGAGAGGCACAUUGACCCAAAAAGAUGAAAAAAAGAAAGAAGACCUAGAACAUUAUUCCAAUUGGCAUAGAUUUUGACUAAAGGGAAUCUUGAAAUAUGUUCUUAUUCUAUCACUAUGAAUAUCAUAGGUGGUGGUUUAUAUUUUGACACCAAUGGUAUCAUCUGGAAAUAUUGGUGCUCCAUGGCUGAAUAGUCUGUAUGUGAUUGCAUCUCAGUUUGCAGAAGUAGUAUGGUGACAGCUAACACAACACUAUGCGCUUUGCUAUUCUUUCAUCAAACCUUUAUGGUUUCUGUUCGAGGGGAAAUUUUCCUCUGUCCUUCUGAGUUUCUUUGGGCUGGUCUAAUAAUUCAAUUAACAUAAAACAGAUUGACAGGAGAAAAUCAAAUUUAAUUUUGUACCUUUCAGAACCCCACCUAUAUGAGACGUUCAAAGACAGAGAGGUAAAGUGAGGUAUGUGUGCCAUCCUGAGGUAAGCACUGGGAUAGGAGCCUGGGGCUUCAACGAGGGGAGGGGGAGGGCAGUCCACAGGCAAUAAGAAAAAGAUCUGAUGUUUGGUAAUUAGAUGUUUGCCCUGCCAUGCAGGUGGGGCACUCAGAUAAAAUUUAUCUCUGAUAAUAGCUCUUGUUCUGGGAAAGACACCCAGUUUAGAUUCUUCUAGGUAGUUAAGGGAGGAACAAAAGUUUCUCUUGAGCCUACAGAGUCUCAACUGCCUCCAGCUCAAAGUAGUCCAUAUGCCAAAAUAGCACUUUGGAGAGACUUUUUCUGAACAUUUCCAUUUCCUUUACAUUUUAAGUGUACCAGUUGCACAAGAUGCAAACAAAACGAUAAAUACACAUGCUCCUAGAAGGAGUAAUAGAAGUGAUUGUGCUUCUAGGAAUAAAGGAAAGGCUUAGAAAAGGAGCAGCCUGACCUAGUUUUAGGAAUGAUUAGUUUGCUAAAUAGGUGGGGAUGGGUGGGGAAAGAGAGGUUUCCCAGACAGAGGGAAUGAGUACGAAGGCCCCAGGCCCCGAGGUGUGAACAGAUAGGUAUGGUCAGAGAGAUCUAAGUAGAGAGAUUUUGCUGACGCACAAAGUUCACAGGAGAGAAUUUCAUUUAGGAGAACUUUGAAGAUGUAGGCAGGAGUCAAACAUUUCGUGUUUGGAAGCCAAGAAACUGGACUUUAUCCUGCUGGCUAGUGGCUCUCUUUAGUGUGUAUAAGAAUCACCUGGGGAGUUUGUUAAACCAUCCCACCCCUGAUUCAGGAAGUCAAGGUGAGAUCCAGAAAAAACGUUUUUAGCAAAAGUCCUCAGUGACAUUUUUGAAGGUAGUUUUUGUUCAUACCUUUAGAAAACAGCUAUAGUAAUUGAAAGAUGUUCGGGCAUUCUAACAAGGAGCACAACUUUCCUCAGGAUAGCUUGGGAUGAGAAAAAGAAGGAAAUUGGAUGCCCUUGAUUUGAUCUGACAGCACAUAUUUUUUGGUAAAACUCUUGGUCUGGGAUGAGGAGACCUAGAACCCUAGUUCAGCUCCCUUACUAUGUUUUCUCCGAGUAGUUAAUCUAAUUUAUCUGAUUCUCAUUUGCAUCUUUUGAUAAAGGGUAAUAUGGUGAAUCUUCCAAGUAAAUACAAACUAAAGCUAAAUACUUUUAAAAUGUUUAUGUUUUGGGGCGCCUGGGUGGCGCAGUCGGUUAAGCGUCCAACUUCAGCCAGGUCACGAUCUCGCGGUCCGUGAGUUCGAGCCCCGCGUCAGGCUCUGGGCUGAUGGCUCAGAGCCUGGAACCUGUUUCCGAAUCUGUGUCUCCCUCUCUCUCUGCCCCUCCCCCGUUCAUGCUCUGUCUCUCUCUGUCCCAAAAAUAAAUAAACGUUGAAAAAAAUAAAAUGUUUAUGUUUUAUGUAACUCUGAUCGAAGUUUUAUGGUUAUAAACUAUGCAAAUGUUACAGACCAAUGAAAUCAAGGAUAUGACUCAAAUUAGCAGUAUUAAUGGAUACCAGCUAACACUCAAGUUUAUGUUUUUGAAAACAUUAUGUCUUUCCUUUUACUCUUAAAUAUCAAUGUAGACUUUGAGAAAAGGAAUGCAUAAUUGCUUGUUCUAGUUAAAAAUCUAGGUAAGCUUUUCUCCUCAUUAAUCUCAUUAUCUGUGUUUAUUUAUAAAAGAUAUUUAUUUUAAUUAUUUAUGAUCUUUUUAAAUGCUCCAAUAGUUUCAGUGAAACAGCUCUUAAUGAUUUAUCAAUAAUGCACUGGCAUACUAAGAAUGUCUUCACGCCAUUAUCAAUAUUGCCUACUCUUUCUGAACCUUAGAUUCAUUUUAUAGAUUGCCUAGUAGUUUGUAGAACAAAGUUUGAUUUCCAGCCUUGUGAAUACCUAUGAAAAUCUGAAGAGACUGCUCUUUCAUGUCUGAAUAAAAAGCUAAAAA